UGGCUCAGUUGGUAGAGCAUGGUGUGUGCAAAGCCAGGGUUGUGGGUUCGAUUCCCAC
rfam:Salmo salar isolate Sally breed double haploid chromosome ssa04, whole genome shotgun sequence.